rnacentral:rRNA from 1 species
AUUGAACGCUGGCGGCAUGCUUUACACAUGCAAGUCGAACGGCAGCGCGGGCUUUGGCCUGGCGGCGAGUGGCGAACGGGUGAGUAAUACAUCGGAACGUGCCCAGUAGUGGGGGAUAGCUCGGCGAAAGCCGGAUUAAUACCGCAUACGACCUGAGGGUGAAAGCGGGGGAUCUUCGGACCUCGCGCUAUUGGAGCGGCCGAUGGCAGAUUAGCUAGUUGGUGGGGUAAAGGCCUACCAGGGCGACGAUCUGUAGCUGGUCUGAGAGGACGACCAGCCACACUGGGACUGAGACACGGCCCAGACUCCUACGGGAGGCAGCAGUGGGGAAUUUUGGACAAUGGGCGAAAGCCUGAUCCAGCAAUGCCGCGUGUGUGAUGAAGGCCUUCGGGUUGUAAAGCACUUUUGGCGGGAACGAAAAGGACUGUGCCAAUACCACGGUUCGAUGACGGUACCCGCAGAAUAAGCACCGGCUAACUACGUG